GAGUUUUAACUGUAGACCUGCCCUUAAAUACCGCAUAUCGAGAGGUUUCCCCCAGUCACCUUUCAAACCUAAUAGUAGUAUAACCUUGAUAGCACUCAUCACCAUUCAUUUUUGACAGGUUUCCAUUCCCCCUUUGGGGCUUUUGUCCCACCUUCCCACCCUGUUUCCGUUGGCACCGAAGUUUGGAGCCAGUGGCCAUUUUGAACAAAAAAAAUUGUGCACGUUUGAAUGGGGGAAGUCUUGUGCUUGGAUACAUGGAGAGCCGUUUAAAGUUUGAGUAAGGUUUAUUGAAAAAAAGGGGCUUGUGUAUGGAGAGCUGUUGUUAAAGGAAAGAGAUGAUGAGGUGCUAUAAAAGAAUAGAAAAUGUGAUACACUGAGAGACGUUUGGGUAAGGUUUAUUGAAAAAAGGGGAGCUACUGGUAAAGAAUAGAGUGUUUGUGUUACUGAACACAUGCAGAGCGAAACAUUUUACCCCUUUGACUGUGAAUAGGGGAAGUGUUUGUACUUGGAUACAUUGAGAGCAAAAAGGUUAUAGGCUGUAAUUGAGUACAGAGAGCUGUUUGUGUUACUGAACACAUGCAGAGCAAAACAUCCUACCCCACCAACUGCUGGUAGUGAAAUGAUAGCUGGUUUGUGCAGAGCUCCUGGGAGCUAGCCCCUCCUUUUGGUGGACCAAUCAGAGAUUGUUUUACAGCUAAGUCACAGAAUGGGCUUGUGGAACCAAUCCUAUAGUUCCAUGAUUUAGAGAGGAUCUUUACCUUACAUUAAAAGCUAUAAAAACAGGAUUAAAAAGAAAAUUUAGUAAGCACACGAUAAGAAAGCAUUAAACAAUAUUAAAAACUUGUUGAGUAAGCACAUGGCCAAAAACUUGCUAAAAAGCCAUGUUUAAAAAGGAAAUUUAGUAAGCACAUGAUCAAAAAGUGAAUAAAAAAGCAUUAAAUAAUAUUAAAGACCUGUUGAGUAAGCACAUAGUCAAAAACUGGCUAAAAAAAGAUUAAAACAGGAUUAAAAAGAAAAUUUAGAAAGCACAUGGGUAAAAAAGUGUAUAAAAAAGCAUUAAAUAAUAUUCAAAACUAAGGCAAAGCCUGUUUAGUAAGCACAUGAUAAAAAAAGUGAAUAAAAAACCAUUUAGUAUCAGGGUAGGUUAAAAAAAAAAGAAAUGUUAAAAAAAACAGUGCAAGAAAAGGAAAUUUAGUAAGCACAUAAUCAAAAAGUGAAUAAAAAACCAUUAAACAAUAUUAAAAACCUGUUGACUAAACACAUGGCCAAAAACUGGCUAAAAAAGCAUUAAAAACAGGUUUAAAAAGAAAAUUCAGGAAGAACAGGAUAAAAAAGUGAAUAAAAAAGCAUUCAGUAUCCAGGGAGAUUAAAAGAAAGAACAAGGGGGAAGAUAGAGAGCACAUGGUUAAAUUAAAGAGAGAGAGAGAGAGGAUCUGUACCUUACAUUAAAAGCUAUCAAAACAGGUUUAAAAAGGAAAUGUACUAAGCACAUGAUAAAAAAGUGAAUAAAAAAAGCAUU